rnacentral:misc_RNA from 1 species
GAUGAAGAACGGAGCGAAAUGCGAUAAGUAGUGUGAAUUGCAGAAUUCAGUGAAUCAUCGAAUCUUUGAACGCACAUUGCGCCCUUUGGUAUUCCAAAGGGCAUGCCUGUUCGAGCGUCAUUUGUACCCUCAAGCUUUGCUUGGUGUUGGGCGUCUUGUCUCUAGCUUUGCUGGAGACUCGCCUUAAAGUAAUUGGCAGCCGGCCUACUGGUUUCGGAGCGCAGCACAAGUCGCACUCUCUAUCAGCAAAGGUCUAGCAUCCAUUAAGCCUUUUUUUCAACUUUUGACCUCGGAUCAGGGAGGGAUACCCGCUGAACUUAAGCAUAUCAAUAAGCGGAGGA